rnacentral:rRNA from 1 species
AACGAACGCUGGCGGCAUGCCUAACAUAUGCAAGUCGAACGAGACCUUCGGGUCUAGUGGCGCACGGGUGCGUAACGCGUGGGAACCUGCCCUUAGGUUCGGAAUAACUCCCCGAAAGGGGUGCUAAUACCGGAUAAUGUCUUCGGACCAAAGAUUUAUCGCCUUUGGAUGGGCCCGCGUUGGAUUAGCUAGUUGGUAGGGUAAAAGCCUACCAAGGCGACGAUCCAUAGCUGGUCUGAGAGGAUGAUCAGCCACACUGGGACUGAGACACGGCCCAGACUCCUACGGGAAGCAGCAGUGGGGAAUAUUGGACAAUGGGCGAAAGCCUGAUCCAGCAAUGCCGCGUGAGUGAUGAAGGCCUUAGGGUUGUAAAGCUCUUUUACCCGGGAUGAUAAUGACAGUACCGGGAGAAUAAGCGCCGGCUAACUCCGUG